rnacentral:rRNA from 1 species
AGCGAACGCUGGCGGCGUGCCUAACACAUGCAAGUCGAACGUGAGAAGGGAAACCUGAGUAAAGUGGCGUACGGGUGAGUCACGCGUAGGUAAUCUACCCCAGAAUCUGGAAUAACCUGCCGAAAGGCGGGCUAAUACUGGAUAGAGCGAGGGAACUCGUAAGAGAGUUUUUCGGGAAAGGGAGCCCGCAAGGGCCUUCGUUCUGGGAUGAGCCUGCGUCUCAUUAGCUAGUUGGUAAGGUAACGGCUUACCAAGGCGAUGAUGAGUAGCUGGUCUGAGAGGAUGAUCAGCCACACUGGAACUGAAACACGGUCCAGACUCCUACGGGAGGCAGCAGUGGGGAAUCUUGCGCAAUGGACGAAAGUCUGACGCAGCCACGCCGCGUGAGUGAAGAAGGCCUUCGGGUUGUAAAGCUCUGUCGGAUGGGACGAACAUCUUCAUAGUGAAUAGCUAUGAGGACUGACGGUACCAUCAAAGGAAGCACCGGCUAACUCCGUG